rnacentral:rRNA from 1 species
UGUGAGCUCGAUGAGUAGGGCGGGACACGUGGUAUCCUGUCUGAAUAUGGGGGGACCAUCCUCCAAGGCUAAAUACUCCUGACUGACCGAUAGUGAACCAGUACCGUGAGGGAAAGGCGAAAAGAACCCCGGCGAGGGGAGUGAAAAAGAACCUGAAACCGUGUACGUACAAGCAGUGGGAGCCUCUUAAUGGGGUGACUGCGUACCUUUUGUAUAAUGGGUCAGCGACUUAUAUUCUGUAGCAAGGUUAACCGAAUAGGGGAGCCGAAGGGAAACCGAGUCUUAACUGGGCGUUAAGUUGCAGGGUAUAGACCCGAAACCCGGUGAUCUAGCCAUGGGCAGGUUGAAGGUUGGGUAACACUAACUGGAGGACCGAACCGACUAAUGUUGAAAAAUUAGCGGAUGACUUGUGGCUGGGGGUGAAAGGCCAAUCAAACCGGGAGAUAGCUGGUUCUCCCCGAAAGCUAUUUAGGUAGCGCCUCGUGAAUUCAUCUCCGGGGGUAGAGCACUGUUUCGGCAAGGGGGUCAUCCCGACUUACCAACCCGAUGCAAACUGCGAAUACCGGAGAAUGUUAUCACGGGAGACACACGGCGGGUGCUAACGUCCGUCGUGAAGAGGGAAACAACCCAGACCGCCAGCUAAGGUCCCAAAGUCAUGGUUAAGUGGGAAACGAUGUGGGAAGGCCCAGACAGCCAGGAUGUUGGCUUAGAAGCAGCCAUCAUUUAAAGAAAGCGUAAUAGCUCACUGGUCGAGUCGGCCUGCGCGGAAGAUGUAACGGGGCUAAACCAUGCACCGAAGCUGCGGCAGCGACACUAUGUGUUGUUGGGUAGGGGAGCGUUCUGUAAGCCUGUGAAGGUGGCCUGUGAGGGUUGCUGGAGGUAUCAGAAGUGCGAAUGCUGACAUAAGUAACGAUAAAGCGGGUGAAAAGCCCGCUCGCCGGAAGACCAAGGGUUCCUGUCCAACGUUAAUCGGGGCAGGGUGAGUCGACCCCUAAGGCGAGGCCGAAAGGCGUAGUCGAUGGGAAACAGGUUAAUAUUCCUGUACUUGGUGUUACUGCGAAGGGGGGACGGAGAAGGCUAUGUUGGCCGGGCGACGGUUGUCCCGGUUUAAGCGUGUAGGCUGGUUUUCCAGGCAAAUCCGGAAAAUCAAGGCUGAGGCGUGAUGACGAGGCACUACGGUGCUGAAGCGACAAAUGCCCUGCUUCCAGGAAAAGCCUCUAAGCAUCAGGUAACAUUAAAUCGUACCCCAAACCGACACAGGUGGUCAGGUAGAGAAUACCAAGGCGCUUGAGAGAACUCGGGUGAAGGAACUAGGCAAAAUGGUGCCGUAACUUCGGGAGAAGGCACGCUGAUAUGUAGGUGAAGCGACUUGCUCGUGGAGCUGAAAUCAGUCGAAGAUACCAGCUGGCUGCAACUGUUUAUUAAAAACACAGCACUGUGCAAACACGAAAGUGGACGUAUACGGUGUGACGCCUGCCCGGUGCCGGAAGGUUAAUUGAUGGGGUUAGCGGUAACGCGAAGCUCUUGAUCGAAGCCCCGGUAAACGGCGGCCGUAACUAUAACGGUCCUAAGGUAGCGAAAUUCCUUGUCGGGUAAGUUCCGACCUGCACGAAUGGCGUAAUGAUGGCCAGGCUGUCUCCACCCGAGACUCAGUGAAAUUGAACUCGCUGUGAAGAUGCAGUGUACCCGCGGCAAGACGGAAAGACCCCGUGAACCUUUACUAUAGCUUGACACUGAACAUUGAGCCUUGAUGUGUAGGAUAGGUGGGAGGCUUUGAAGUGUGGACGCCAGUCUGCAUGGAGCCGACCUUGAAAUACCACCCUUUAAUGUUUGAUGUUCUAACGUGGGCCCGUAAUCCGGGUUGCGGACAGUGUCUGGUGGGUAGUUUGACUGGGGCGGUCUCCUCCUAAAGAGUAACGGAGGAGCACGAAGGUUGGCUAAUCCUGGUCGGACAUCAGGAGGUUAGUGCAAUGGCAUAAGCCAGCUUGACUGCGAGCGUGACGGCGCGAGCAGGUGCGAAAGCAGGUCAUAGUGAUCCGGUGGUUCUGAAUGGAAGGGCCAUCGCUCAACGGAUAAAAGGUACUCCGGGGAUAACAGGCUGAUACCGCCCAAGAGUUCAUAUCGACGGCGGUGUUUGGCACCUCGAUGUCGGCUCAUCACAUCCUGGGGCUGAAGUAGGUCCCAAGGGUAUGGCUGUUCGCCAUUUAAAGUGGUACGCGAGCUGGGUUUAGAACGUCGUGAGACAGUUCGGUCCCUAUCUGCCGUGGGCGCUGGAGAACUGAGGGGGGCUGCUCCUAGUACGAGAGGACCGGAGUGGACGCAUCACUGGUGUUCGGGUUGUCAUGCCAAUGGCACUGCCCGGUAGCUAAAUGCGGAAGAGAUAAGUGCUGAAAGCAUCUAAGCACGAAACUUGCCCCGAGAUGAGUUCUCCCUGACCCUUUAAGGGUCCUGAAGGAACGUUGAAGACGACGACGUUGAUAGGCCGGGUGUGUAAGCGCAGCGAUGCGUUGAGCUAACCGGUACUAAUGAACCGUGAGGCUUAACCUU